GUGCUUGCUUCAGCAGCACACAUACUAAAAUUGGAAUGAUACAGAGAAAAUUAGCAUGGCCCCUAAGCAAGGAUGACAUGCAAAUUCAUGAAGAGUUCCAUAUUUUA
ensembl:snRNA U6 U6 spliceosomal RNA